CCUCUGAUGCCUUAAGAGGUGAGCAAGAUGGUACAAAAAGAUGGCAUAAAAUAAAGACCCUGAAAGGGACACGAGUUUACAGUCCUCGUCCCACGUUGAACCCGGUCACAGCGCAGAGGUUGGAAUGGGAAGUAGCAUUGUUCCAGAAAACAAGUCACACAACACUUCAGAACGUUUGAGCUCCAGCCCUGAGAUUAACGCGGCAUACAGAACAUUCUAUGAUAAACAUCAGUUCAAAACCCGGUCUAACGAAAAACUGCCUGUAAUUUAUUAUAAUACACUGAACAUACGGAUGCACAAAUGAGAGGACAUUGUGUCUGUAUGUGUGAACAUUCAUUAGCAUGGAGACGAGGCUUCGUAGCCUCACUGGUCUCAAACAGCAGCCCUAGUGGAGAACGUACAGAACAAGCAGGCAGGUCCAUCACCUGAAGAACACCGGUAGCAAUGCUGUCGUCAGUACGCGGGUAACGCAGCGUGCACCGGUGUGUGGAGGCGGCAUCGCCGCCAGUAUUAGAACCAAACAGCACGCAGCGUCACAGGGCGCUCAGGCUGCUUCAGGCCAAAGAAAGGUGACGUACAUCCACAAUGCAGUAAAACCAAAACUGUAUUUAACACAUCAGCUGUUUGAGAAAGGUGGUGGUAGAACAUAAAUGCCAGUCAUUCUUAUUGAAAUCAAGAUGGAAAUAAGAAAAGAUUUCAGGCAGAAGUCUGAAAACAGCUUCUUAGACUUCAGUGACUCCGGAGAAGCCGAGUGGUGCUUUCAUUUCUAAAUAAUGUGCAGCAAAGCUCGAAAUGAAACUCAACAGAAGAUGGUUUUGCAGUUGUGAGAAAGUGGAGGGGAGAUUCAAAUAAAUGGAAACUGAAAGGAAUUCCUUGACUUUUAGGGAAAAAAAAUGAAGCCUGCAUGUUUCCAACUUCACAAAUCAAAUGUGCAAACUACUUAAAAAAAAGGUCCAAACUGGUUGGAGCAGACAAACAACACACAGCAUUAUUUUAAUUCUCUUAAGUGCUUUAAGCAUGUUCAAAUCUCGAGCGGUCAUAUUGAUGGCUGAAUGAGCUCUGAGAGCUGCAUGACGGAGCGCGAAACCAAUGAUGCAAGGGGGCGUGGCCGGGUGGGGCGGGGGUUACACUAAAGUGCUUUCUGCAAAGAAACCUCACAUGGGGUGAAUACAUUCAAGCGCACACGGCCCAGUGCCCCAAGUAGCCCCCACAGCUACUGGACUACACACAACCAAACCUCAUGGACAAGGAAAAGCAAAAUCCCAGGAAUAAAUAAAACUUAGUAAAUCAAACACUUGCAUCAUUUUGAAGAAAUUCAAUCUUUGAUUGUAAUUCAUGUUUAGUCCAUAAACAAAAACGUAAUAUAAAUAACUACAGAGAGAAGACACAAAAGAGCACUUGACGAGGUUGGGUGACGGGGGGGUUUCCAGCCACAGUAUGAGGGGUUAACCAGCACAAGGGGGGAAGUUAAGGUUUACUGGUGGUAGCGUUCAGUCACAGGAACCCGGCUCCACAGUUGCCAUGGAUACCAGCAGGCGGAAGGAGAGGC
ensembl:lncRNA